rnacentral:misc_RNA from 1 species
UGUUGCUCUCACAGUCCUGAGAAGAUGAUUGGUCAUUGUGAUGGUUUUGUUUUCAUUCAGUGAUUGGGAUUUUCUCCAUGCCUACUGAUUUGUUGUACGGGUGAUGGUUGUGCGUUCCUCCUUCCACUUCUGUACCUUUCUGACCUCAUUUUUGGCGCAGUUUAUAUUUUAUUGUUUCAGGGAAAAUGUGGACCAGUCCAGUGCUGUCCUUAAUACUGGACA